AGUCGACGGUAGAGGAGCAAUCCUCGAGAGUGGCGAACGGGUGAGUAAUACAUCGGAACGUGCCCAGUCGUGGGGGAUAACGUAGCGAAAGCUACGCUAAUACCGCAUACGACCCGAGGGUGAAAACGGGGGACUCGCAAGAGCCUCGCGCGAUUGGAGCGGCCGAUGGCAGAUUAGGUAGUUGGUGGGGUAAAGGCCCACCAAGCCUGCGAUCUGUAGCUGGUCUGAGAGGACGACCAGCCACACUGGGACUGAGACACGGCCCAGACUCCUACGGGAGGCAGCAGUGGGGAAUUUUGGACAAUGGGCGAAAGCCUGAUCCAGCCAUACCGCGUGCGGGAAGAAGGCCUUCGGGUUGUAAACCGCUUUUGUCAGGGAAGAAAUACUUCGGGCUAAUACCCUGGGGUGAUGACGGUACCUGAAGAAUAAGCACCGGCUAACUACGUGCCAGCAGCCGCGGUAAUACGUAGGGUGCAAGCGUUAAUCGGAAUUACUGGGCGUAAAGCGUGCGCAGGCGGUUCUAUAAGACAGAUGUGAAAUCCCCGGGCUCAACCUGGGAACUGCAUUUGUGACUGUAGAGCUAGAGUACGGUAGAGGGGGGAUGGAAUUCCGCGUGUAGCAGUGAAAUGCGUAGACAUGCGGAGGAACACCGAUGGCGAAGGCAAUCCCCUGGACCUGUACUGACGCUCAUGCACG
rnacentral:rRNA from 1 species